rnacentral:rRNA from 1 species
UACGUAGGCAGCAAGCGUUGUUCGGAGUUACUGGGCGUAAAGGGUGCGUAGGCGGCUUUUUAAGUUUGGUGUGAAAUCUCCCGGCUCAACUGGGAGGGUGCGCCGAAUACUGAGAGGCUAGAGUGCGGGAGAGGAAAGUGGAAUUCCUGGUGUAGCGGUGAAAUGCGUAGAUAUCAGGAGGAACACCGGUGGUGUAAACGGCUUUCUGGACCAUAACUGACGCUGAGGCACGAAAGCGUGGGUAGCAAACAGG